GGGCUUGACUUCCCACAAACCUGAUCUAAAGGUGGUAGUGCCCGCAAGGGACCGCGGACACAGGUGGUGCAUGGCUGUCGUCAGCUCGUGUCAUGAGAUGUUGGGUUAAGUCCCGGAACGAGCGCAACCCUCACCCCUUGUUGCCAUCAGGUCAGGCUGGGCACUCUAGGGGAACUGCCCCGGUCAACGGGGAGGAAGGUGGGGAUGACGUCAAGUCAUCAUGCCCCUUACGUCCUGGGCUACACACUUGCUACAAUGGCCGGCACAAAGGGAUGCGACACCGCGAGGUGGACCUAAACCCAAAAAGCCGGUCUAAGUUCAGAUUGCAGUCUGCAACUCGACUCCUUGAAGGAUGAAUCGCUAGUAAUCGCGCAUCAGCUCAGCAUGGUGAAUACGUUCCCGGGCCUUGUACACACCGCCCGUCACACCACCAAAGCCAGCUGUACUCGAAGUCGCUGAC
rnacentral:rRNA from 1 species